CGUUUUGCCGACGUUUUGCGUUGGGGCCAACUUCACACAGGUUCAACCAAGCCUGCGGGAAGAAGAGAGAAGAAGAAGUCACUAGGCCAAAGACCCACAGCCUCAAGAGCACACACCACACGUGCACAGAUGUACACAAACCAACACAUUUAAUAAAGGGUGUAGUGAAUACUGCAAAUAACUCUACACUCUCAAUACCCAUGCAGUGCUGGAACCUCACGCCACAUGGAGGAAAGACCCAGAUGACCCCAGAAGAAAGCAGGCUGGCUCCUAGAAGAUAGAAAGAUGGAUUAAAAACUCCCCUUUUAUGUACACAUAUAGACCCUUAGCAGUUGGUACAAACAGGGCUCACUUAAAAUCAGUAAUUCAAAAGAAAAUAAUUUCAAAAACAAUCAAUAUAUAACAAUCAGCUUAAAACUUAUGUGAAACAAAUAAAUAAAUCAUAAGCAAAACAGCAGGGCCUAGACAAAGGUCCAUAUGCAUAGAACUCCACAAAGAAAGAUCUGUCAAACAGAAAAACAAAAAUAAAAGCACUUUUAUCAAUCUUUAACAAACUAAAUAAAACAACAAUAUAAAAUCAACACAAAUAAAACACCUGUCACGGCGCAAAUCUGACAGUGUCGUGACCACUCAAAACACAAUCCUCUAAAUCACUCAAUAAUUACACAUAAAUAUUAUAACUAUAACACACCUAACCAUCUAAUGCAGCUGGUUGCGAACACGGCGUCUAUCGCCACCCAUGCGCUCAGUCUGACAUCGGGAGGGGUUCUCUCUACAAUAUAAAAUACACCAUAUUAAAAAAAAGCAAAACAUCCUUAUACAAGCUCUUACAACACCUAAAAUACCACGCUAUACCUCGCUAUGGCGCUUCAGGGUCACAACACCGGAAGAAGACGGAAAAGAAUCAAACGUCAGGAAGUUACGCCGCCUGCCGACCUUUGCGCCAUUUAUAGGGCAAAAUAAACACAUAUGCCCCACCCCGUACACCAUCCUAAUUAUCCACUCGGUUACAUAUAUCAAUUGAUAUUAAAUGUGAAAUAGAAACACUGUAUCCGCAGACCCGUUAUUUGGCAGCCACUAAAUAAAUGGGAAGUGGCAUGAAAUUCUCGUUCCAGUUUCCCAUCCCUUUGACCUGAAGUUGGACCCAAAAGGCUAUAAAUGACCCCUGCUCCGACAAUCUUUGUCAUUCAUUUACAUCUUUCUGUACCUGUGUUCAUCUGCACCCACACAUCACCUCACACCCUCACCCAUUCAUUUGCACCACGGUUCUUGACACGUUCCGCACUUUUGUUUUGCUGUCUUUUGUCCGAUUUUGUGAUUUCUGCGAAAAUGGGAUUAGCUGAUUGCCCGCUUUGCCUCCGUGAAUACAGUCAACUCAGUCAGCACCUGACGGUCAUGCACGGAGUAAAGAAUAAAGAAGAAAGGAAGUUGCUUCUCGCCAUUCCAUCCGGGAGGGUGGACGUCCGCAAGGGCACCUGCCCUGUGCCCGCCUGCGGCAUGUCCACCUCCCGGCUGGACCGCCACCUGAGGGGGCACACGGAGCUGAUGGCUGCAGCUCAGCGGCAGGCCAUGGAGUCUCUGAAGCGCAAAAAAACUUUGAGUGACCUCGCCAAGCUGCGGGCCAGCAACCCGGCCGUGGCCAUGGCCUCCAUGCUCGACCUGCAUGAGUCCGAAGAUAUGGAUGACCCCACCUUCGUUUUGGAGGAGGAGGAGGAGGAGCAGCCCUGCGACAACCCCAGCUGCCAAAGGGCUCGGGACGAGGGGGAGGACCUCCGAAAGCAGGUCGAUACGCUGAGCGAGGCGCUGGCACAGGUGACUCGCUGCUGUCUCCUGAUGAAGAGGAGGUCGCAGGGUGCCCCCUCCAGCUACGAGUUAUGUUGUCAACAGUAACCCCACACUCUAAACCCGGAUUUUGUGUUAAUGAAACAAAGUGGUCAUUACUUAUUCUUUGUUGUUUUUGAAAAAGCAUUGUCAUUAAUAAAUCAAAUUAGUUGUUUGCACUAAUCAGAUUGGAAGCACUGAUCAUGUUAGCUGUGAUAACUCGGAAUGUCACGCUUUUGUGAGGGAGGGAGGGGCCUGUUGAAGCAGGUGACUGACGGUGAGCAGAGCGCGCAGUUUGAGGAGUCUGCUCGCUAAACAUGGAUUUAUGAAAGAAACUUUAUACGGCGAGUGUAUAAAUCUGAUCUUUCUGACAAAAGUGAUUACCCCAAAACCGGGCCGAUGUUAGUUGAAAGCUAAAACUGUAGUGUUAAUGUGCCGGUCGAAGUUGUUGUUUGUUUUCCUUCUGUCGGUUCACAGAUUAGCUAAAGUUAACAUUUAAAUUUGCUGUUCCUGUCAGGUCACAGUUUAUAACGUUAGCCAGUGUGUUUCUGUAUGUUCACAGUUUAGCUAUAACGUUUGCAUUUUGCAUUCGUUGUUUUCUUUCUGUCUGUUCAUAUCAGCAUGUGUGAAUGUAUGUACACGCUAGUGGCUAACUUUAGCAUGUCUCUUUGGUGUAUUAUUAUGGUUACAGUUCAAAAAUUUGCUUUUUUUUAAGGUCCAUAAGCCUGUCCUGCUCUUUUUACAGAAGAUCAGGUGUUUAUGAAGUUCAACAGGAUUGUGGGAACCUCAAGCAGGAAUUCUAUGAAAGCAUUGAUCGACAGUCUUCAUCUAAUUGAUAUCUUUCGAUCUAAGAGAGGGAAUGUUGGACAGCUGUUGACACCGCUUUCACAACAAACCAGGACUCGAGAGCCAACUGAUAUUACGUCACUGGUGCUCAGAGGGCUCCCGAUUGUCCUUGGUGACAACCCCACGAACUUCUUCAAAGCAUGCUUUGACUCCGAUGGUGAUCACUCAUUUCGCCACCUUGACUUUGGGAUCCCCCUUGUUGAGCAUGAAGGUGCUGUGCUCCCAUCUUCCCUUCAUCUCAAUCCAGCUUCAAUUAAGAUCAUCAUUGAGGGAGAAGUUGUGAUGGAAGGAUGUGAAAUGUCCUCAGACUGGUGUGAGCACUGAGAGCCACAGCAGAUCCUGGGAAUGGUGUAGAGCCAUGGAUGAGACCCUCCAUCACUCCUCCUGCCCUUACUGCCUCAUCUGGACCGGAUGUUGCUGUGAUUUCUUCAUCCUCAGUGAGCCCAGAGCCAGCGAGAGCAUCUAGAAAAAGACCAAAGGACAUCGAGGAUGUGAUUUUGGUCCAGUUUGUUCUGCUGGUUUCUGUUCAUACAAUGAAGGUUCAAAAGCAUCAUCAAAUAAUGUCAUGAAGCUUCUGGAAGUCAGGCUCCACUGACUGAUACUGUGUGAACAGAAACCAGCAGGACAAACUGGACCAAAAUCACCUUCUGUGUUCAGAAAAAAAAAACAUUGAACAGCGUGAAGGCGAGUAAAUAAUGACUGAAUUUAUAUGUUUGGGUGAACUAACCCUUUAUGCCCCCAAAUAGAAACUGUAUGAAAUGUACGUAUGCAUUUAUAUUAUAGUAGUGCCUUGAAAAAGUGAACUUUAAGAAAUAAGCAGCUUUAUUGAGUGUUUGUGCCCCAGACACUAACAAAAAAGGAUUUACAAAAAUCACA